CUAUGGUUUUGCUUUGAGAUUCCAUACCUUGCCUACGAAUGAAUGAUUCUUCUGCCUAACUUUGAGUUCCUUCUGUCAAUAUGUAUAAAGUAUCAUCUAAUUUUGAGACUCAUUCAGUCUAAGCUCUGCCUAAUAGCAUGUGGCUAUACGAGUCUACAGCCUUGGCCUCUAUAACCCUAUAUGAUCCUGUGUCUCCUCAGAAUUUCCCCUGCAAUGAUAAAGGAAAGCCAGCAUGGAGUAUCAAAUUUUAACAUGAAAACUAAUCCACAAUUGACUACAUUUCAAGAGUUUCAGAACACCUAUCUUUCUCAAUAUUUAUUCUUGGCAUCUCAAACCAAAUCUGAAACUACCCAUUUGAUUUUCUGUUCAUUCUGUCUGACAUUUCUUCAGACUCAUUCUCUUAUCAAAAUAAAUUGGGAAAAAAGGCACAGAGGAUAUAAAUAGCCCUAGAAGACACAGCUUUGUGAAUUUUUAGCACUUACGUAUGUGGAGAUUUUUAUGAAAGUAUCAGAGAGGGAAAGAGUUGAUUCCAUCAACCUUUCAACAAUAGCACAACUUCCAACUUCAGAACAGCAGCAGUGGAAGUUUGGCAAAACCAAAAGAAAAAGUCUUCAAACAUAUGAAGAAAAAUGGUUUUCAAAUAAGAGUACUUCAUCUGAUAAACUAUAAAACAAAUUAGGAAGCACAACAAUAUCAUUUUUCAGAUAAGCAUCUUUUUAGAUAACUCUUCGGAUUCUUCAUAUUAAGAUUUGAGGGAAGAGUUUGGUUUUACGAAAUGUAGGAGAAGAAUUUUCAUGAUAAGGAAAGAAAAAAAAUAAGGGUUGAUACAAGAAUGAUUUAUAAAACCAAGACGAGGAAUUGAAUGCUUCAUCCAAAUGUUGAGGAAGGGCUGGCAAGAUGACUCACUGGGAUAGGUGCUAACUACAAGAUUCAAUGACCUGAGUUAGAUUCCUGGAACCCACACAGUACAAGUAAAGAAAUGACUCCCACAUGU